rnacentral:rRNA from 1 species
UACGUAGGGGGCAAGCGUUGUCCGGAUUUAUUGGGCGUAAAGAGCGUGUAGGCGGCCAGGUAGGUCCGUUGUGAAAACUCGAGGCUCAACCUCGAGACGUCGGCGGAAACCAUCUGGCUAGAGUCCGGAAGAGGAGAGUGGAAUUCCUGGUGUAGCGGUGAAAUGCGCAGAUAUCAGGAAGAACACCCGUGGCGAAGGCGGCUCUCUGGGACGGUACUGACGCUGAGGAACGAAAGCCAGGGGAGCGAACGGG